AGAGUUCAACGCAGCAUUAAUAACAAAAUCAACUUCAUAAUAUAAUUGAAUUGUCUUAAUACAAGAGUUAAUAUAAAUUCGGAGUUUUGGAGCACUAACUAGACAUAAAGGAAAAUGUACAAAUUACAACCAAAAGAGCAGGUUCGGAAAGUCCAACAAAAGUGACCUGCUAUCAAGCUAUAAGCCUGAAAAGGAUAAAUAAUGAGAUGGUGAGUUCAACAACUCAGUGAGUAGAUAACGUUCAAUAUACACACACGAGGUAAUACAACAAUGAGAAAUAUAUAUACAAGUAUGGCUCUAGGUUCUUAUAGAAAGGUUUCUCAAAUAGGCCAUAACAAGAAUAUCAUAUGGUAAAACUAGUCAGAAAAUCAAAAUGCAAUGAGCAUGAGGCUCCGUACUGUGGGAUGAUCAGUCCACACAGGUUGGUGACUCCCCCGACCAACUAGGGUUCAGAUACGAUGUGCACAAAGACUAACACUACCCUGUUAGCAUGGGUAUUCUGACUGACAUACCAUAGGUUCAUAAUCAUAAUCAAACAGACAUAUUAAUAUCUCAAGGCUCAACUCAUGACAUCAAUCAAAUGAGGAGCUAUCAAUUCAGAAUUCAAUUCAAAAUAUAUACUGGUUCAUAUCAAGAAUUCAGAUUCAACAAUUGAUCAUGCUUUAUCAAAACAAGGAUAAUAAUCAACAUAUAUAUUAUCAAGAAGCAUGACUCAAUUCAUAUUAACAAAUCAAAUAUUUAUACUAUUUCUCAUGCAUAUGAAAAAUUAUCCACUCACCUGACUCAAAAGCAAACAGAAGCCAAAAGCAGACACCGAAGAAAAUCUUACUGACGUCCUAUCGGUAGAAUAUCAGGAUUAUCUGAAUACAAAGGAGACAUAUUCAAGAACGACUCAAAAUAACAUUUAACCUAUUUAAUAAACUUAACUAAUGAUGUAUUCCGUAACCCUAUAUGUUUUUGAACUAACUAGUCAAUUUUCUCAAAAACCCAAAAUUUAACGGUUUUCCCGAAAUCUAAUCCAUAAUAAAACAACUAAUAAAAUUGGCAAUAAUUCACUAAAUAACCCUUAAUUAUUCAUCAAACUAAUCUGAAAAGGCUAAUAUUACAGCUAGGGACCAAUCUGUAAUUUAUCAUAUUUUUAGGGCCAAAUUGUAAUUUUUGUCCAAUUGGAGGACCAAACUGAAAUUUAUCAUAAAUCCAUGAAUAUACUGAAAUUCUGACCAUAAUUAGUCCUCAUUUCUGUCCAGAUCAUCUCAUUAUACUCCAAGGACCAUUCUGGAAUUUUACCAAAUUUUUAGGGUUAAAUUGUAAUUUUUGUCAAAUUGAAGGACUAAAUUGAAAGUGUUAAAUUCUCUUAUCUAUACAGUAAUUCUGUCCAUAAUUCAUAUGUUAUUCUGUUCAGAAUCUCGGAAUAUGCUCCAGGGACCAAUCUGCAAAUUUUCCAAAGUUUGGGGACUAAACUGUAAUUUUCCAAAAUUGAGGGACCAAACCGAAAUUUUGUCAUCUUCAACCUCCAACCCAGAAUUUUUAACAGAAACCUACUGUUCUCUCCAAAUUCCUAACACAAUUUCACCAUUCAAACAAAAUCAUAACUCAAAAUCAUCAUCUUUCAAUUCAAUCUCUCAAAAUCAUCCAAAUAAUCAAAUACCCAUAACAAUUAACUCUAUAACAUUCAAAUUAACUCAUCAAUCAAACCCAAAACACAAAUUUCAUAACCCUAACAUUUAUCAAAAUCGAAAUUAAAGCUUAAUUAACAUAUAUUUAUACAUAAUCUUACCUUUUUACUUAUUUCCUCCAACUCCUUUCUAUUUCCUUUCUAAUUUCCCUCUUUUCUCUUCUUCUUCUUCUUUCUCCCUUUCUCUCCUGCCGGUUCUCUCUCAAAAUUCAGAUCUCUCUUUUGUUUUUUUUUUCUUCUAUUUAUAUAUAUUAUGUUUAUCUAAUUACCACACUAUCCCUCAUUUAAUUUAUUCCUACAUCUAAGCAUUCAAGGGCCUUGUUGCCAUUUCCUAUCUUUUAAUACAAAACAUUACAAUCUCCCCACCUUAUAAAAGUUUCGUCCUCGAAACUUAAUAGAAAAGAUUGAAUACUUACCGAGAUUAUUGAAAAGAUGAGGAUACUCCUCACGCAUCUUAUCCUCGAGCUCCCAUGUCGCUUCCUCACGUGAAUGACCUUUCCAUUGCACUUUCACUGAAGCUAUAUCUUUUGACCUAAGCUUCCUCACUUGUCGGUCGACUAUAGCUUCUGGUUGCACCUCAUAAACCAUAUCAUCCCUCAAUUCAAUGGGAUAGACCUCUAAUACAUGCGAUGGAUCUGACAUAUACUUCCUUAGCAUGGAAACAUGAAAUACCGGAUGAAUAGCGGACAAGUUUGGUGGUAAUGCUAACCUAUAAGCAACUGCCCCAACUCUCUCCAGAAUCUCAUACGGUCCAAUGAAUCGAGGACUCAACUUGCCUUUCUUCCCAAACCUGAAUACUCCUUUGGUCGGUGAUACUUUUAAGAACACACAAUCACCCACUGAAAACUCUAAGUCACGCCUUCUUCUAUCCGCGUAACUUUUCUGUCUACUCUGAGCUGUUUGAAGCUUCUGUCUAAUUACCUCUAUCUUCUCUGAGGUAAUCUGAAUCAACUCCGGUCCCAUUAGCCUCUUCUCACCAACCUCAAACCAACAAACCNNNNNNNNNNNNNNNNNNNNNNNNNNNNNNNNNNNNNNNNNNNNNNNNNNNNNNNNNNNNNNNNNNNNNNNNNNNNNNNNNNNNNNNNNNNNNNNNNNNNCAAAUUCCACUAAUGGUAGGAACUUCUCCACCACUCCAAAUCCAUAACACAAGCCCUUAGCAUAUCCUCCAAGAUCUGAAUAGUCCUCUCAGAUUGACCAUCUGUCUGAGGGUGAAAAGCUGUACUCAACUGCACUUUAGUACCCAUAGCUUCUUGGAAUUUCACCCAAAACCGCGAUGUAAACUGUGGACCUCUAUCAGACACUAUCGAGAUUGGCACUCCAUGCAACCGUACAAUCUCACUAAUAAAUAAUUCUGCCAACUUUGCAUAUCCAUAAGUAAUCCUAACUGGCAGAAAAUGGGCUGAUUUUGUCAACCUGUCAACAAUCACCCAUAUUGAAUCAUAACCCUCCUGACUCCUAGGCAAUCCUGUCACAAAGUCCAUUGUGAUCCUUUCCCACUUCCAUUCUGGAAUCAACAAUGGUUGCAACAAUCCAGGAGGUUUCUGGUGUUCACCCUUUACCCUCUGACAGGUCAAACACCUAGAAACAAAGUCUGCUACAUCAACCUUCAUCCUAUUCCACCAAUAACACACCUUAAGGUCUUUAUACAUCUUGGUGGAACCUGGAUGCAUUGUGUAAACUGUCUGAUGUGCCUCUACCAUCAAUUCUCUCCUCAGAUCAUCUACAUCAGGUACACAAAGCCUAUCCCUAUAUCUCAGCACAUCAUCAUCACCUAUCACAAAACCUGCAGCCUUACCCUGCUCAACCUCAUUUCUAAUCCUGAGUAGUGAAUCAUCUUUCUUCUGAGCUGCUUUUAUCUUAUCAAACAAAUCUGACUUAACCUGAAAAUGAGCAAUCAUUGCUCCAGCUUCACUAAGAUCAAAUCUGACUCCUUCAUCCACCAACUCAUGCAGCUCCCUAAUCAGAGGUCUUCGUACCUCCUGAAUAUGAGCUAAGCUCCCUGAUGAUUUUCUACUCAAAGCAUCGGCAACUACAUUUGCCUUACCCGGGUGGUAAUGUAUGGUACAAUCAUAAUUCUUCAGCAGUUCCAUCCAUCUCCUUUGCCUCAUGUUUAGAUCCCUCUGCUGAAAGAUGUACUUCAAACUCUUGUGAUCUGUGAAGAUCUCACAAGUUUCACCAUACAAGUAGUGCCUCCAAAUCUUCAAGGCAAAAAUUACAGCCGCCAUCUCUAAAUCAUGUGUAGGAUAGUUCUGUUCAUGCUUCUUCAGCUGCCGUGAAGCAUAGGCAAUAACCUUGCCAUGCUGCAUUAGAACACAUCCUAACCCCACUCUCGAAGCAUCACAAUACACUGUGUAACCACCAGAACCUGAUGGUACUGCUAGAACAGGCGCUGUAGUCAAUCUCUCUUUCAACUCUAAGAAACUUUUCUCACAAGCUUCAGACCACUGAAACUUAAUAUUUUUCUGCGUCAACUUAGUCAAUGGUGCAGAAAUCCGAGAAAAGUUCUCUACAAACCUCCGAUAAUAGCCGGCCAAACCUAAGAAACUUCUAAUCUCUGUUGCCGAAGUAGGCCUAAGCCACUGCUUAACUGCUUCAAUCUUUUGAGGAUCAACCUCAAUCCCAUUCCUUGACACUACAUGCCCAAGAAAUGCUACACUCUCCAACCAAAACUCACUCUUUGAGAACUUGCCAUACAGCUGAUGAUCUCGCAGAGUUUGAAGCACCAUUCUCAAGUGCUGCUCAUGCUACUCCCUAGACCUCGAAUACACCAAAAUAUCAUCAAUAAAAACUAUCACAAAUUGAUCAAUAAACUGGCCAAACACUCUAUUCAUCAAAUCCAUAAAAGCUGCUGGUGCAUUCGUCAACCCAAAAGACAUCACUAAGAACUCAUAAUGACCAUACCGAGUUCUAAAAGCUGUCUUCAAAAUGUCUGCCUCCCUAAUCCUCAACUGAUGAUACCCAGAUCGAAGAUCGAUCUUAGAAAAGAAUUGAGCUCCCUGCAACUGGUCAAACAAAUCAUCAAUGCGAGGGAGUGGGUAUCUAUUUCGAACAGUCACCCGAUUCAGUUGCCUAUAAUCUAUACAUAACCUCAAUGACCCAUCUUUCUUCUUCACAAACAACACUGGGGCUCCCCAAGGGGACACACUCGGUCGGAUGAACUUUUUAUCCAACAAAUCCUGCAGUUGCUCCUUUAGCUCCCUCAAUUCUGCUGGCGCCAUUCUAUAUGGUGCCAUUGAUAUUGGUUCGGUACCCGGAACCAAAUCAAUACAAAACUCAAUCUCCCUAUACGGAGGCAAUCCAGGUAAGUCAUCGGGAAAGACAUCAAUAAACUCCCUAACUAUAGGGACUUGGUCUAAUUGAGGAACUUCUUUCUCUACAUCCACUAUAUAUGCUAGGUAGCACUGUACCCCUUUUCUGGCCAUUUUCCUCGAGAUAGCCGACAACAUAAUUGAUGGAGACCCAAUCUUAUCUCCUUGAAAUACCAACCCAACUUCUUCAUCUAGAUCAAAUAUUAUUUUCUUACCCCAACAAUUUACCGAAGCCCUGUGCUUUGCCAACCAAUCCAUUCCCAAAAUCACAUCAAAAUCAACCAUAUCUAAGACAUUUAAGUCUCCCAUAAAAAUCUUAUCUCCAAUCUCUAUUUCACAAUCCAGAUACACAUACUUCACUAAUAUUAAUUCAUCUAAGGGAGUGGAAACUGAAAUGGGGGAUUUUAACAAGGUUGGUUGUUUAUCUAACCUCAUGGCAAAAUAUGAAGACAUAAAUGAAUGGGUUGCACCCGUAUCAAACAACACUUUUGCUUCAAAAGAGCAAACAGGAAGAAUACCUGAAACAACUGUGUUGGAUGCCUGAGCAUCCUGCUGAGUCAAGGCAAAAACUCUAGCAUGCCCCUGACCCUGCUGUAUCUGACCUCUAUCACCUGCACCCCGGCCUCUCUGACCACGGCCACCAAAACCUCUACCCCCAUGAGCCACAGACUGGCUCGUCGAUGGUGCCUGAAUAGGAUGUUGGACUGAAGCAGAUAACCCCGAAGCUGACAACUGUCUCCUCGGGCACUCUCUGAUCUUAUGACCUAUCUGGCCACAACUAAAACAAGCCCCGGUCCUUCUGUAGCACUCUGCACUAGUAUGACUUCCUCCACAGUGCUGACAUGAAGAACUAUCACUAGGUGUAAUAAAUGAACUACGAGGUGCAGUCUGAACUAAACUCUGAGUACCACUACUGCCACUCUGACCGCCUGAGCCACUAACUGACGGUCUCUGUCUAAACCUCCUCUGAACCCAUGAGCCCUGACGGCCACUUCGUCCCCUAGACGGACCUGCACUUAAUCCCUGUUGCCUAAAAGACUGACCCUCUUCUCUAGGCCUCUUAGACUGGCCUGCAGUCAUAUCCUCCAAUUCUCGCGCCUCUAUCAAUCUGGCACUAUCAACAGCUGAGGAGUAUGAUGGAAACACCUGUGACACCAUCACCAUAUACAUAGAGGAUUUGAGUCCUCUAAUAAACCUCUUCACCCUCCACUCCUCAGUGGGUAGAAGAUGCUCUGCAUACCUAGACAGCUGAGUAAACUUCAGAUCAUACUCAUCCACUGUCAUGCUCCCCUGAGAUAGCCUCUCAAACUCAUAAAGUCGAGCAUCCCUGACGCUCUGAGGGAGAAACCUGUCUAAGAACAUGGAGCUAAACUCCUUCCAUGUCCACUGAGCCUCUACUGGUCUUGCUCUUUUCCUAGACUCAAACCAAGAGAUUGCCACAUCUCCUUCCAACCUGAACGAUGCCAAACUCACAGCUCGGUGGUCUGUACAUCCCAAAGCUUCACACCGUCGCCAAAUAUCAUCUAGGAACCUCUGAGGAUCCUCUGAACUAUCCAUCCCAGUAAAAAUAGGAGGUGCCAACUUCAUGAAGUCAUUCAACGGCACAUUAACUCCCUGAACAGUGUGGGAUGUCGAGGGUACAUCUCUAUCCCUCCUUCUAUCUCUCUCCAUAGAAAAUUCUAUCCAGGUCCGCACAACCUGGCUAAGUUGCUAAAACUCUGUAACAGGUUCAGGGUCAGCUACCCCCACACCUGUUUCAUCAACAAUAUCUUCCUCUUCUAUCUCCUGAGGCUCUUCCUCCACUGGUGGAGGUACCUCCUCAACAUGUUGAGGCACGGGUGCACCGCGCCUCCUUCUCUGCCUUGCAGUUCUCAACCGCCCAAUAGGGACAUCAUCCUGAUCAUCCUCUACUCUAACAGUAUCAGCUAUUCGUCUAUUCCUCGGCAUUUCCUAAAAUAAAAGUGAGAGCACUCAAGUCAUGCUAGAACAAUAGCAUGAUAAUUAUCAUAGAAUUAUAGGAAAGCAUAUCUAUCACAAGGAAGAAGACAUGCUUAAUGAGAAUUCGGAAUUUCAAAGGCAACAAACAAGACAACACGGAUCCUAAUGCUCCACUUAUUACGAAUUUAAUUAUAUUAUUGUUUCUUUAACCUAAAGCUCUGAUACCAAGUUUGUCACGACCCGAAUCCCGGAUUCAUGACCGGCACAUAGGCAAGGUUCCCCUCCAAGGUUCCAUACCUAUGCGAACCCAAACUUACACACAAACUUAUCCUAACUCAAUCAGAGUUCAACGCAGCAUUAAUAACAAAAUCAACUUCAUAAUAUAAUUGAAUUGUCUUAAUACAAGAGUUAAUAUAAAUUCGGAGUUUUGGAGCACUAACUAGACAUAAAGGAAAAUGUACAAAUUACAACCAAAAGAGCAGGUUCGGAAAGUCCAACAAAAGUGACCUGCUAUCAAGCUAUAAGCCUGAAAAGGAUAAAUAAUGAGAUGGUGAGUUCAACAACUCAGUGAGUAGAUAACGUUCAAUAUACACACACGAGGUAAUACAACAAUGAGAAAUAUAUAUACAAGUAUGGCUCUAGGUUCUUAUAGAAAGGUUUCUCAAAUAGGCCAUAACAAGAAUAUCAUAUGGUAAAACUAGUCAGAAAAUCAAAAUGCAAUGAGCAUGAGGCUCCGUACUGUGGGAUGAUCAGUCCACACAGGUUGGUGACUCCCCCGACCAACUAGGGUUCAGAUACGAUGUGCACAAAGACUAACACUACCCUGUUAGCAUGGGUAUUCUGACUGACAUACCAUAGGUUCAUAAUCAUAAUCAAACAGACAUAUUCAUAUCUCAAAGCUCAACUCAUGACAUCAAUCAAAUGAGGAGCUAUCAAUUCAGAAUUCAAUUCAAAAUAUAUACUGGUUCAUAUCAAGAAUUCGGAUUCAACAAUUGAUCAUGCUUUAUCAAAACAAGGAUAAUAAUCAACAUAUAUAUUAUCAAGAAGCAUGAUUCAAUUCAUAUUAACAAAUCAAAUAUUUAUACUAUUUCUCAUGCAUAUGGAAAAUUAUCCACUCACCUGACUCAAAAGCAAACAGAAGCCAAAAGCAGACACCGAAGAAAAUCCUACUGAUGUCCUGUCGGUAGAAUAUCAGGAUUAUCUGAAUACAAAGGAGACAUAUUCAAGAACGACUCAAAAGAACAUUUAACCUAUUUAAUAAACUUAACUAAUGAUGUAUUCCGUAACCCUAUAUGUUUUUGAACUAACUAGUCAAUUUUCUCAAAAACCCAAAAUUUAACGGUUUUCCCGAAAUCUAAUCCAUAAAUAAACAACUAAUAAAAUUGGCAAUAAUUCACUAAAUAACCCUUAAUUAUUCAUCAAACUAAUCUGAAAAGGCUAAUAUUACAGCUAGGGACCAAUCUGUAAUUUAUCAUAUUUUUAGGGCCAAAUUGUAAUUUUUGUCUAAUUGGAGGACCAAACUGAAAUUUAUCAUAAAUCCAUGAAUAUACUGAAAUUCUGACCAUAAUUAGUCCUCAUUUCUGUCCAGAUCAUCUCAUUAUACUCCAAGGACCAUUCUGGAAUUUUACCAAAUUUUUUUAGGGUCAAAUUGUAAUUUUGUCAAAUUGGAGGACUAAAUUGAAAGUGUUAAAUUCUCUUAUCUAUACAGUAAUUCUGUCCAUAAUUCAUAUGUUAUUCUGUUCAGAAUCUCGGAAUAGGCUCCAGGGACCAAUCUGCAAAUUUUCCAAAGUUUGGGGACUAAACUGUAAUUUUCCAAAAUUGAGGGACCAAACCGAAAUUUUGUCAUCUUCAACCUCCAACCCAGAAUUCCAACAGAAAACCCACUGUUCUUUCCUUAUUUCUAACACAAAUUCACCAUUCAAACAAAAUCAUAACUCAAAAUCAUCAUCUUUCAAUUCAAUCUCUCAAAAUCAUCCAAAUAAUCAAAUACCCACAACAAUUAACUCUAUAAUAUUCAAAUUAAAUCAUCAAUCAAACCCAAAACACAAAUUUCAUAACCCUAACAUUUAUCAAAAUCGAAAUUAAAGCUUAAUAAUACAAAUUUAUACAUUUAACAACCUAAAUCUUACCUUUAAACUUAUUCCCUUCAAUUCUUUUCUAUUUUCCCUAUUUUCCCCUCUUUUCUCUUCUUCUUCUUUCUCCCUUCUCUCCUGCCGAUUCUCUCUCAAAUAUUCAGAUCUCUUCUUCUUUUUUUUUUUUCUUUCUAUUUAUAUAUAUCAUCUCUUAUACAAUUACUACAAUACCCCUCAUUUAAUUUAUUCCUACAUCUAAGCAUUCAAGGACUUUAUUGUAUUUUCCUACUCAUUUAUUCAAAACAUCACAUAAGCUCUCUCACCUGCAAGUCUUUG
rnacentral:lncRNA from 1 species